GGCAGAAUGAAAAGCAGAGUUUCAGUCUUCUCCAAAAUGCGAAGAGGGAUUUCAAGAAGUUUCAGCAAUAUACUCUAAAUGAAGAAACUUCACAGGCACUUGAAUCCCUUUGUCCGUUCCCCAGCCUCUGAGGUCUAUAAUGAGAGAGAAUAAACACGGCUUUAUCGCCAGGGAGGAUUUAAACAGACAAGCGCGGGAGGAGAGCUUAACAGUUUCAAGGACAAGAGGUUUUGUGAAGCCCUCAACCACCUGACUCCAAUCAAGUCAAUCAAUUCUCAUCCUGCAUAUUUUUUUCCAUUUAAUAUCCUUUUUUAAAAUAUUUCAGAGUACUAAAGUAAAAUGUUUUGCAAAUGCCAUUUGAUGCUAAGUUUAAAAAUGAAUAAUUGACAGUUUUGCUGUUCUAGACUGGUUUGUAUUGGUUUGGGGCUGAGCUGGUGGUCUUUUCUUCAGAUUUUGCUUUUAAGAAGGAAGCCAGUUUGGAAGACAGCCUGCCCGCACAAUACUUGGAAGAUUCCAGCUCGUCUUUGGAGGAAGGGUUCAGGGGCCAGUUUGGAGGGCUUCCGCUACGAUUUUCAACCACAGCAAUGAAUUAUAAGAGAAACAUCAGAGAUGAAGUCGAUGCUUAAAUGAAACAACUGUGAACUCCAUUAUGUCUCCUGAGCAAUGAAAGACCAGCCUUUGACUGAUAAAAUGUUCCGCUGGGAAAGUCUAAGUGGGAAAAUGAGAAGUAUGAUUGUAGAUGGCAUGCAGAUUAAGACGGAGACAAAGAAAGAAUGAAAGAUGCUAAUGUUGACCUCAAUCCUCAGAACUACAACUGAUGCCAGAAUGUGCUAUAUCACUUCAAAGACUAUUGCAGAAGUGCUUUCUCCAACAAUUAUCCCACUCACUCAACGUCUAUCUUUUGGUGUCAUCAUUGUUAUUCAAGCGCAGUCUUGGAAUGCAAUGGUUUUUGUGGAUGAACGAUUUUACUACUGAUCAAAGUCUGCCAGAAACAUCUGGGCCAGCAUAGCAAAGCUGCUUUAAUGGCAAACUGCUUUUGAGGAUAUGAAACAAUAUUUUGACUUUUUACAUCAUACUGUUUUAUUUGACUCUAAACUACUCUUGCAUAGUUUGAACAUUUUAAAAUGCCAUCAAAAUGUUCCUCCUUAACAGGAGAAUAAUGGUUGUUCCAACCAGUACAAGCUAGUUUAUGGCCAGGGGCCUUGUAAGUAAGGGCACCUAUUCAUUCAAAUACCUGAGCUCUUACACCUUCUGUGUUCACACAUUUUACUCAGGCUUGUUUAAUAUUCUUAAGUUGUAGAUAAACACUUGGCAUAAGGAAGCUUUUCACUUCACUUGAGAAAGUAGCACCUAAUUCCGAACAAACAGACAGACAUGCACCCAGGUUGUUUCAAAUGCUGACCUCUGACCUCUCUAACGUACAAGUAGACUGAGCCUUGUUGCCACACAUGGGCUAUUUGACUCCUCUGAAAGGCUAGUUUUCUGACAGCUUGUGUUUAUUAUAACAAGUGCUGGAAUUCAGUCUAAUGAAGGUUUUUAUUAUCUAUAAUAAGGUCAGCUGGAGCCAAAGCGCCAUGAGUGGAGCGUUUAAGAGAGGACAACCAGCAGAAGAUUGACAAGAGCUGCUGACACUUUUGUCUGUUGUUCUAACGUCUCAAAGUGACGGCUCAACAACAGGUCAUUUCCCAGGACAAGGCACAGGAGGAAGCCACUUUGCUAUAACAUAAACAGGAUUAUUUUAAAUCAAAUUUCACAGCAUUCUGAAGCAGAGCUGCAGGAAAGCGUGCUCAGUGCUUUGAAAGGCAAAGGUAGGGAGAGCGAGAGAGAUAUUGAAAGAGAAAGUGGGAGAAAUUUACUUUUAUCUCUGCACAGGAAUAAAGAUGCGGCCCACUUUGCAAAUUGACUUCGAAGGCCACAGUUCUGCAGUAUUUCUGCACCUACCCGUCCCACACUUUGAGAAAUAUACAGCUGAAGUCUGAUUCUGCAAGGAUGCUUCGUGAUUUACGACGUAGAGGGAUGUGUUCCCAUCUGGGACUCCAGCCACUGCCGGACAGGAGAUUUACGGGUGCAAUGACACCACUGAUUACUUUUGGACGCUGAGGAGAAAUGGACACAGUUUGUUUUUCACACUUUAAGACCUGGACUGAGCGUUGUAGAGUCCCUGAGCCUAGAUUUGGGUCUUUGUCCGCUAGCAGCAUCACUGGAGUUCGCUUAUGGACACACACAGGCUAACUUGGACAAGCUCAAGUCGAUAAAUAACAUACACAGACUGAUGGGAAACCCAUAAUGUAUCUCCGUCGACGAGAAAUGCAGAGACAUUGUCAUGACCCCAGAAACCACACUUGCUCUAGGAGCCGCUUGACUCCAUCUCUCUCAUUUUGACAAAUUUGUGAGUCUUCCUGUGCGUUCCAAGGAGGCCAAACCGUGGACGUCCAAAGUUCAGCCAAACCCAAUACAGUCUGAAAGCAAAUGCUCGGGUUCAACUGACCUCACACUGGACUAAAUGGCUUGAUAGUUUUGUAUUAUGACUUCUGACAAAUGAAAUGCCUUCUUUUUCAUUUACCAACAACAAGAGCCUCAAAUCCAUUAAGCAAGAAAAACGCAAAAUGAAAGACAAUGCUGCCUAACACUCUAACUCAGUCAAUAAAUCAGGCAGAAACAAUAAGCGGAAACCAUAAAUGCAGACUGGAUUGAAGUCAUUUUUCUUCACAUGGAAAUUCUCAAGACAUUUUCAAUUUCAUGCACAGCACAGAAACCAUACUAAAGACAUUUGUGUAAUAUAAGCAGGGAGAAACUCUUUUGAUGAUCGCGACAGGUCCUCGUUCCACCCAGCCUUACGCAAACAAUGUGCCUGCCUGUCUGUCUGCUUGCCAUGCAUCCUCAAAGGGACAUGAAGUGUCUCAUAUACAUUUGACACAAAGAGUGGGUUAUGUGACAUAAACCAGAUGGACUCUUCAGUAGGACCCGACAUUGCGGUUUCUCAAAGACCACAGGCUUACUUGAUCGCUCCACCCAGGGCCUGCUCACUGGCAACUGGGAGGCGACUCACUUUCAUUCGUCUUCUCACAAGUUUGGGUGAAAAGCUUUUGGGAAGCUUUGUAAGAUUGAUGAUCCAUGGCCAAUUACUGGCUUAGCCCCUCAGUCUCACAAAGAAAGCAUGAGCUCGGACGUAAACAAAUGGGACAAAGAUGCGGGGGCUGGAAAUACCUGUGUCUUGACAAUAUUUAAGUGUUUCUCCUAAAAAAUCUGUCUGGACUGGAGUAUCAUCACUCUCACAUAAAAUCUGAAUAUUCUUCAACACACAUACAAAGGCUACUUCUUACAUGGUGACAUAAACCUGAUUGUGAUGCCAUAUUUGAUGUAGCAUGUGCAGGCAUGCAUUGAACAAUAUUUUGAUUCGAUUUGAGAGUGAAUACAGGCUUAAAUCUAGACCAGUCAAGUCACAUGGAUUAAUUUCACGCUACCUUUACAGUACUUUUCAAACGUUUGGGGUCAAAAAGGGUUUUUUUUUUUUUAAAAGAAAUUGGUACUUUUAUUCAGAAAGGAUGCAUUAAAUUGUAUGGAUGCUUGUUUCCAUCACUGAAUAAAACAUAAAAAAGGUUUUUCUCACGCAAUUGCAAAUUAUAAAGUCAGAA